rnacentral:rRNA from 1 species
CCUUUAGAGAUAGAGGAGUGCCUUCGGGAGCGCUGAGACAGGUGCUGCAUGGCUGUCGUCAGCUCGUGUUGUGAAAUGUUGGGUUAAGUCCCGCAACGAGCGCAACCCUUAUCCUUUGUUGCCAGCGCGUAAUGGUGGGAACUCACAAAGGGGGGGAGCAUGUGGUUUAAUUCGAUGCAACGCGAAGAACCUUACCUACUCUUGACAUCCAGCGAAUCCUUUAGAGAUAGAGGAGUGCCUUCGGGAACGCUGAGACAGGUGCUGCAUGGCUGUCGUCAGCUCGUGUUGUGAAAUGUUGGGUUAAGUCCCGCAACGAGCGCAACCCUUAUCCUUUGUUGCCAGCGCGUAAUGGUGGGAACUCAAAGGAGACUGCCGGUGAUAAACCGGAGGAAGGUGGGGAUGACGUCAAGUCAUCAUGGCCCUUACGAGUAGGGCUACACACGUGCUACAAUGGCAGAUACAAAGAGAAGCGACCUCGCGAGAGCAAGCGGAACUCAUAAAGUCUGUCGUAGUCCGGAUUGGAGUCUGCAACUCGACUCC